rnacentral:rRNA from 1 species
AACGAACGCUGGCGGCAUGCCUAACACAUGCAAGUCGAACGAAAACUUCGGGUGUAGUGGCGCACGGGUGCGUAACGCGUGGGAACAUGCCCUUAGGUUCGGAAUAACUCCCCGAAAGGGGUGCUAAUAGCGGAUAAUGUCUUCGGACCAAAGAUUUAUCGCCUUUGGAUGGUCCCGCGUUGGAUUAGCUAGUUGGUAGAGUAAAAGCCUACCAAGGCGACGAUCCAUAGCUGGUCUGAGAGGCAGAUCAGCCACACUGGGACUGAGACACGGCCCAGACUCCUACGCGAGGCAGCAGUGGGUAAUAUUGGACAAUGGGCGAAAGCCUGAUCCAGCACUGCCGCGUGAGUGAUGAAGGCCUUAGGGUUGUAAAGCUCUUUUACCUGGGAUGAUAAUGACGGUACCGGGAGAAUAAGCUCCGGCUAACUCCGUG